rnacentral:lncRNA from 1 species
CGGAAAUGGUAUUAGAAAUACCUCCAAGCCGAUAAGGCUUUGAGGAGUUUGGUGGGAGACCUCGGACAGCUGCCAUAAUGAGCUGCCUUGCGAUCCCCACGCCCCCCUCGCCCCAACCCUGGUCCUCCCUGCACGGAGGGCUCCACACAGACGUGAUGACCGGGAAUGCUGGCUGUCCCCCAGCAGGCUGGUCCAGGCCAGGGAAGAGUCCAGACCUGAUGAACACAGCCUCUGGAUCCGGUGGCCAAGGACAGACGCCGGGGAAGUUUGGAAAAACACCUCGACCUGAGCCAAAUCAGCCACUGUGUUUGGAGAAAGAAGAGAACGGAUGCUUCCUGUCCACGUUAAGGCACUCGAGGUCAUAUAGACAAGACAAUGGAAUCUGCGUGGUGGAUAUGCUAUCUGGCCUCCUCUGGGCUACUCUGCCCAAUUUUGCAUUCGGUGACAUCAUGUUGUCAUUCAGUGACCAUCACAUCGGCAGCAUGAAAAUGUAGCCAUGUGUAGCCAUGGUGGAAAUAUGGACACCAUGUUCAUCAGCUACAGAUCAAGGCUUUCCUUCCCGAGGAUCAGAUGUUUAAACGUUUACCAGCACACCAUCGCUCCCAGGCAUAGAGCACCUGUCUAGGGCGUGCAACUGGUGUGGGGAGAAGUUUCAAGAGUAAGAGGAGGAAAAAGUACAGAACAGGAGACUGUCUACAUUGAAUGCAAAUUUGGGCACACAAAGGUUUCUGUAUUCCUGGCCUGAUCAUGGCAUUUAAGGCUCAGGAAGGGUUUGCCAGCUUUAGGAACAGAUGAAUGCCAUGAAGAAGGGCUUCCACUGGAAAACACAGGACGACCCACCUCGCUUCUCACAAGGCCAGGGGUGAAUGAGUUGAGUGUGUGUUCUUGGGGGCCCCUGGCAGGGGAAACCAACAAGUGGUCCUCCCGCUCCCUCCC